rnacentral:rRNA from 2 species
AGUCUGACGGAGCAACGCCGCGUGAGUGAUGAAGGCUUUCGGGUCGUAAAACUCUGUUGUUAGGGAAGAACAAGUACGAGAGUAACUGCUYGUACCUUGACGGUACCUAACCAGAAAGCCACGGCUAACUACGUGCCAGCAGCCGCGGUAAUACGUAGGUGGCAAGCGUUAUCCGGAAUUAUUGGGCGUAAAGCGCGCGCAGGCGGUUUCUUAAGUCUGAUGUGAAAGCCCACGGCUCAACCGUGGAGGGUCAUUGGAAACUGGGGAACUUGAGUGCAGAAGAGAAAAGCGGAAUUCCACGUGUAGCGGUGAAAUGCGUAGAGAUGUGGAGGAACACCAGUGGCGAAGGCGGCUUUUUGGUCUGUAACUGACGCUGAGGCGCGAAAGCGUGGGGAGCAAACAGGAUUAGAUACCCUGGUAGUCCACGCCGUAAACGAUGAGUGCUAAGUGUUAGAGGGUUUCCGCCCUUUAGUGCUGCAGCUAACGCAUUAAGCACUCCGCCUGGG